rnacentral:autocatalytically_spliced_intron from 1 species
GUACGCCCAGCAUGGGCAUGAACUAAUGAGGUGAAAGUCCUCUGUAGGAAGGUCACCGUUCGAUAACAUGCUGUUAUUAAACGUUAACUACUAGCGAAUGGCAAGGGCUUACCCGUGAGGGGCGGUCUGAAGGAAGCCGCUAGCAAAUUUGCGAGCUGAUGAACAAGAACAUCAUAUGAGGCGUAGGCUGAAGGUGAGUUGGCACAAGACGACGAAACCACGUGAUCUAACGGCCACCGUAAAUGAUGCAGCAGUGCAAAGAAAGUUCAUGUCCUUAUCUGGGGAGAUCUGCUUAGCAUGCGAUCGGUCAUUAACCAGUAAGGCUCUGGUCUACAAGUGUCUUGGCUUUUCAAUUUCAUCAACUGGAAAGAGCGAAUUAGAUGAAAACCGAUAGCGCAUGACGGGGCAACUCGGCAUGUGAUUAAGCAGAAGUCAGCAGACGGCAUAGUAGCCCAACGCCUAUCGUAAUGGAUGGGAUAUGGUGAAGGCCUGAACAUUUAGAAGAAGGAGGAGUCUUGCCAAACUUGUCGGUACUCACUACGUCGUCAGAGAUUACUAUCAACAGCGUAUUAGCCCGCAACCAGCCUUCAGCAGCAAUCUAUUUCCGCAACUACUCGAACCUGAGAAUCUACACCGAGCUUGGCGACAAGUGAAAGCCAAUAAAGGCGCGUCGGGUAUCGAUGGCAUGACCAUCGAAGCCUUCCCGCGCUGGAUGCAACAAGGCGGCUGGCAACAGUGUAAAUCUCAGCUUGAGCGAGGAGAAUAUCAACCCUCAGCGGUCAGGCGCGUGGAGAUCGAUAAACCCGAUGGCGGUAAACGCAAAUUGGGAUCCCCACCGUGAUUGAUCGUGUGAUACAACAAGCAAUCGCUCAGAUACUCACGCCGUUGUUUGACCCCUACUUUUCAGUCAAUAGCUUCGGCUUUAGGCCGAACAGAAACGCCCAGCAGGCGGUACUACAAGUCAGGAAUAUCAUCAAACAGAAGCGCAAAUUUGCCGUUGAUGUUGAUCUGUCCAAGUUCUUUGACCGCGUCAACCACGAUCUGUUGAUGACUCAGUUAAGGAGUAAGGUGCAGGAUAAGCGUCUGCUAGCGCUUAUUGGCAAAUACCUGCGAGCGGGCGUCAUGGUCAACGACCAAUUUGAAGCAAGCUUCGAAGGUGUACCUCAGGGCGGCCCACUCUCACCCUUAUUAUCAAACAUCAUGCUGGAUAGUUUGGAUAAAGAAUUGGAAAGCCGAGGACAUCACUUCGCCCGCUACGCUGAUGACUUUAUCAUCUUGGUGAAGUCUCAACGGGCGGGAGAACGUGUUCUCAAGAGUAUUACUCAUUAUCUUGGUACGAAGCUAAAACUGAUCGUUAACGAGCAUAAAAGCCAAGUAGUUAAGGUAGGUCAAAG